rnacentral:rRNA from 1 species
CCUCGGGUGGCAGCAGUGAGGAAUAUUGGUCAACGGACGAGAGUCUGAACCAGCCAAGUAGCGUGAAGGAUGACUGCCCUAUGGGUUGUAAACUUCUUUUAUAUGGGAAUAAAAUGUUCCACGUGUGGGAUUUUGUAUGUACCAUAUGAAUAAGGAUCGGCUAACUCCGUGCCAGCAGCCGCGGUAAUACGGAGGAUCCGAGCGUUAUCCGGAUUUAUUGGGUUUAAAGGGGGCGUAGGUGGAUUGUUAAGUCAGUUGUGAAAGUUUGCGGCUCAACCGUAAAAUUGCAGUUGAAACUGGCAGUCUUGAGUACAGUAGAGGUGAGCGGAAUUCGUGGUGUAGCGGUGAAAUGCUUAGAUAUCACGAAGAACUCCGAUUGCGAAGGCAGUUCACUGGACUGCAACUGACACUGAGGCUCGAAAGUGUGGGUAUCAAACAGGAUUAGAUACCCCAGUAGUC